RSAUGCGAUCAAUACCAGCACUAAAGCACCGGAWCCCAUCAGAACUCGAAGUUAAGCGUGCUUGGGCGAGAGUAGUACUAGGAUGGGUGACCUCCUGGGAAGUCCUCCUGUUGCAUUCC
rnacentral:rRNA from 16 species